AUGGGACGAAUAAGGGAGGGCUAAUACCCCUUUUGAUGACGGUACCAUUUGUAAGCUCCGGCUAACUCCGUGCCAGCAGCCGCGGUAAUACGGGGGGAGCAAGCGUUGUUCGGAUUUACUGGGCGUAAAGGGCGCGUAGGCGGCGCAACAAGUCACUUGUGAAAUCUCCGGGCUUAACUCGGAGCGGCCAAGUGAUACUGUCGUGCUAGAGUGCGGAAGGGGCUACUGGAAUUCUCGGUGUAGCGGUGAAAUGCGUAGAUAUCGAGAGGAACACCUGCGGCGAAGGCGGGUAGCUGGGCCGACACUGACGCUGAGGCGCGAAAGCCAGGGGAGCGAACGGGAUUAGAUACCCCGGUAGUCCUGGCCUUAAACGAUGGAUGCUUGGUGUCCGAGGUUACAUAGUCCUCGGGUGCCGGCGCUAACGCAUUAAGCAUCCCGCCUGGGGAGUACGGUCGCAAGACUGAAACUCAAAGGAAUUGACGGGGACCCGCACAAGCGGUGGAGCAUGUGGUUUAAUUCGACGCAACGCGAAGAACCUUACCUGGGCUAGAAUGCUCCUGACAGCCCCAGAGAUGGGGUCCCCUGGGUAAACCAGGCAGGAUGCAAGGUGCUGCAUGGCU
rnacentral:rRNA from 1 species